UGGGAAUUUUGGACAAUGGCGAAAGCCUGAUCCAGCAAUGCCGCGUGUGUGAAGAAGGCCUUCGGGUUGUAAAGCACUUUUUGUCCGGAAAGAAAUCCUUGGCUUCUAAUACAGUCGGGGGAUGACGGUACCGGAAGAAUAAGCACCGGCUAACUACGUGCCAGCAGCCGCGGUAAUACGUAGGGUGCAAGCGUUAAUCGGAAUUACUGGGCGUAAAGCGUGCGCAGGCGGUUUUGCUAAGACCGAUGUGAAAAUCCCCGGGCUCAACCUGGGAACUGCAUUGGUGAGCUGGCAGGCUAGAGUAUGGCAAGAGGGGGGUAGAAUUCCACGUGUAGCAGUGAAAAUGCGUAGAGAUGUGGAGGAAUACCGAUGGCGAAAGGCAGCCCCCUGGGCCAAAUACUGACGCUCAUGCACGAAAAGCGUGGGGAGCAAAACAGGAUUAGAUACCCUGGU
rnacentral:rRNA from 1 species